rnacentral:rRNA from 1 species
CGUAGGAUGCAAGCGUUGUCCGGAUUUACUGGGCGUAAAGCGCGCGCAGGCGGCAAGGUAAGUAAGGUGUGAAAUCUGUCGGCUCAACCGGGAGGGUGCACUUUAGACUGCUUUGCUUGAGGUCGGUAGAGGGGGUGGAAUUGCUGGUGUAGCGGUGAAAUGCGUAGAGAUCAGCAGGAACACCCGUGGCGAAGGCGGCCCCCUGGGCCGUACCUGACGCUGAGGCGCGAAGGCUAGGGGAGCGAACGGGAUUAGAUACCCCGGUAGUCCUAGCAGUAAACGAUGGCCACUAGGUGUGGGGGGUGUUGACCCCUUCCGUGCCGUAGCUAACGCAUUAAGUGGCCCGCCUGGGGAGUACGGUCGCAAGACUA